GAUAAACGCUAGCGGCAGGCUUAACACAUGCAAGUCGAGGGGCAGCAUAGAUUGUAGCAAUACAAUUGGUGGCGACCGGCGCACGGGUGCGUAACGCGUAUGCAACCUACCCGUCACAGGGGGAUAAUCCGGAGAAAUCUGGUCUAAUACCCCAUAACAUAUGGAUCGGCAUCGGUUCGUGUUGAAAUUUUCGGAGGUGACGGAUGGGCAUGCGUAGCAUUAGCUUGUUGGUGAGGUAACGGCUCACCAAGGCGACGAUGCUUAGGGGGACUGAGAGGUUUGCCCCCCACACUGGUACUGAGGCACGGACCAGACUCCAGCGGGAGGCAGCAGUGAGGAAUAUUGGUCAAUGGGCGCAAGCCUGAACCAGCCAUGCCGCGUGCAGGAUGACGGCUCUAUGAGUUGUAAACUGCUUUUGUACGAGGGUAAAGUGGGUUACGUGUAACCUUUUGGAAGUAUCGUACGAAUAAGGAUCGGCUAACUCCGUGCCAGCCGCCGCAGUAA
rnacentral:rRNA from 1 species